GAGGAAUGUUAUUUUCCUGACAUGAUCUUUGAAGGCACUCAGUAUCCUUGAGGAAGAUACCGAGUGCAGAUUGUUUGAACCCUGGACAGCCACUGCACCAAGUGGGAUUUUGGAGCCUGUGGGACCUGAUGUGUGCUCAGAUUCAGGAAAAGCUUCUCAGCACAGACUGGAGCCUGACCCAGCACAGACUGGUUUCCCACCCAGCAGGCAGAGCUCAUUUAUACAGAACAGACUUCUGCUUUUGUGAUUUUCAGGACAUCUGAUGCACUCCUGGUAAGUAAGUUAAUAUUAAUUUCCAAGUAUAAUUGUACUUUUGACUUUUA
rnacentral:lncRNA from 1 species